rnacentral:lncRNA from 1 species
GCGUACUGAUAGAUAUCUGAUUACAGAGAGCACAACGAGUUUAUACUGCAUGCAUGAACUUCGAGAAAUCAACAGAAAGGAGUCAAUGCCAAUGGGGGCAGAAAGAAAGGUCACAACACCUUCUAAAAACUAUAAAAUUCACUGCUGAUGCACAAAAGAAAAAGAUGAUUAUAGACAAACUUAGCCUGUAAUAUGGUCUGUAAGGUUCAUGUUCAUCCUUAACCGACGGACAAAUGCAGUUGCUAAUUGCUACCAAUGUCCAAUAAACCAAUUGGCUUUUAACUUCCUUCGUUGUCAAACAACUCAGAAUUUAUCAUCAUAAUGCAAGUGAUAUUGCCCUACAUGGCUAGAAAACAAAUCAAGCCCCAGGGUUAACGGUCUUUAUGCACCAGAAGUGGAAGUAAAAUUCUUGAAGGGGGACCGCUAGUAUCAUAGAAACUUUACGAAAGUGAAUAAUAUAUAUGCAAUAGAGCAGUUUCCAAAAGCAAAGUCAAAGGCAUCAAUUCAUCUCCGUUGCAGACCACAAACGAGGAAAAGAGAAAAAAAACAAAAGAUUGGCUGAGACGACAAACGACCACAUAAUGAUGAAAGCACCCACUUAGCCCACAACAAUCAUAGUGGUAAUCUCACUGCUAUCGUUGAUAUCAAAUUGUUUCUUCAAGAACAUGAUGACAACCUAAGUGGUGUUGGAAAAAGGUUCAGAAUAACUUUCUUUUUCAAUGAACUUUAGAACCUGAAUAGCUGCUUUUGCUACAUAAUCUUCAUAUUUAUGGAUAUCAUUCAACUUUAGGCCCACCCCUGGAUAUCACCGUUCCUGUCUCAUUCUUCUUAGGUGACAAAAAAAAAUCUCUGCCACUACUCGUUUUUAACCCAAAAUAUCUAUUUCGUAUAGUUUACCAAUAAGAAUAUUUUUAAGAGCCCAAUAGAUAACCAAAUAUUACAAUGCAACUAAAGUUUCCAUAAGGAUAGUGAUAACAUCCGAAAUUUUUUUUUAAUAACCUAGAUUUGAUAUUUUAAUCAGUUCAGAAAGCAUCUCUUCAUCAACCACCUAGCAAGAAAUUACUAUUGGACAUCAAUGUAAAAGAUGUAUCAAAUCCCUCAAAACAGAAGAGUGUGAAAAUUUUAAAUCCAGGUCCUAAAACGAACCGGCAAAAAAAAAAUCAGCUUUCAGCAUAUCAAUAAGUAUAUUAACCCAUGAAAAAAUAGUAAGUACAUAUUCUAUUUAAUAUUUGAAUCAGUAAGUUAAUAGAUACUGAAUUAAUUUUAGUUUCCUAACUCGAUCAAUCCCAUAAAUGAUAGUUAAUUUUUUUCCAUCAAAACUGGAAUAGGUUAACAUGGCAGAAAUCUGGUGAAAUAUUAAAGUUUACACUAUAUAAAUAUGAAAACAAAGAGAGAGAAAUAAUUUAUGGAAUAAUUCAAUGAAUACUAAAUUCAUUUAUAACAUCAAUCACUCACAAAUAAAUCGACUAACUCGAAAAUCAACAUAC